rnacentral:rRNA from 1 species
AACAAACGCUGGCGGCGUGUCUUAAGCAUGCAAGUCGAGCGGCAAGGGCAGCAAUGCCCCUAGAGCGGCGGACUGGUGAGUAACGCGUGGGUGAUCUACCUUGGGCAUGGGGAUAGCCAUUAGAAACAGUGGGUAAUACCGAAUACGUUCGUUAUCGUGAGGGUAACGAGGAAAGGCGCUACGGCGCCGGCCUGAAGAUGAGCUUGCGUCCCAUUAGCUAGUUGGUGAGGUAACGGCCCACCAAGGCGAUGAUGGGUAGCCGGCCUGAGAGGGUGUACGGCCACACUGGGACUGAGAUACGGCCCAGACUCCUACGGGAGGCAGCAGCUAAGAAUAUUCCGCAAUGGGCGAAAGUCUGACGGAGCGACGCCGCGUGGAUGAAGAAGGCCGAAAGGUUGUAAAGUCCUUUUGCUGGGGAAGAAUAAGUCUGGGAGGGAAUGCCCGGAUGAUGACAUGAACCGGCGAAUAAGCCCCGGCUAACUACGUGCCAGCAGCCGCAGUAAUAC